GGGUUGUGAGGUUAAGCGACUAAGCGUACACGGUGGAUGCCCUGGCAGUCAGAGGCGAUGAAGGGCGUGCUAAUCUGCGAUAAGCGCCGGUAAGGUGAUAUGAACCGUUAUAACCGGCGAUACCCGAAUGGGGAAACCCAGUGUGAUUCGUCACACUAUCAUUAACUGAAUCCAUAGGUUAAUGAGGCGAACCGGGGGAACUGAAACAUCUAAGUACCCCGAGGAAAAGAAAUCAACCGAGAUUCCCCCAGUAGCGGCGAGCGAACGGGGAGGAGCCCAGAGCCUGAAUCAGCAUGUGUGUUAGUGGAAGCGUCUGGAAAGGCGCGCGAUACAGGGUGACAGCCCCGUACACAAAAGCGCAUGUGCUGUGAGCUCGAUGAGUAGGGCGGGACACGUGGUAUCCUGUCUGAAUAUGGGGGGACCAUCCUCCAAGGCUAAAUACUCCUGACUGACCGAUAGUGAACCAGUACCGUGAGGGAAAGGCGAAAAGAACCCCGGCGAGGGGAGUGAAAAAGAACCUGAAACCGUGUACGUACAAGCAGUGGGAGCACAGGUUUACCUGUGUGACUGCGUACCUUUUGUAUAAUGGGUCAGCGACUUAUAUUCUGUAGCAAGGUUAACCGUAUAGGGGAGCCGGAGGGAAACCGAGUCUUAACCGGGCGUUAAGUUGCAGGGUAUAGACCCGAAACCCGGUGAUCUAGCCAUGGGCAGGUUGAAGGUUGGGUAACACUAACUGGAGGACCGAACCGACUAAUGUUGAAAAAUUAGCGGAUGACCUGUGGCUGGGGGUGAAAGGCCAAUCAAACCGGGAGAUAGCUGGUUCUCCCCGAAAGCUAUUUAGGUAGCGCCUCGUGAAUUCAUCUCCGGGGGUAGAGCACUGUUUCGGCUAGGGGGCCAUCCCGGCUUACCAACCCGAUGCAAACUGCGAAUACCGGAGAAUGUUAUCACGGGAGACACACGGCGGGUGCUAACGUCCGUCGUGAAGAGGGAAACAACCCAGACCGCCAGCUAAGGUCCCAAAGUCAUGGUUAAGUGGGAAACGAUGUGGGAAGGCCCAGACAGCCAGGAUGUUGGCUUAGAAGCAGCCAUCAUUUAAAGAAAGCGUAAUAGCUCACUGGUCGAGUCGGCCUGCGCGGAAGAUGUAACGGGGCUAAACCAUGCACCGAAGCUGCGGCAGCGACGUUUAUGCGUUGUUGGGUAGGGGAGCGUUCUGUAAGCCUGCGAAGGUGGCCUGUGAGGGUUGCUGGAGGUAUCAGAAGUGCGAAUGCUGACAUAAGUAACGAUAAAGCGGGUGAAAAGCCCGCUCGCCGGAAGACCAAGGGUUCCUGUCCAACGUUAAUCGGGGCAGGGUGAGUCGACCCCUAAGGCGAGGCCGAAAGGCGUAGUCGAUGGGAAACGGGUUAAUAUUCCCGUACUUGGUGUUACUGCGAAGGGGGGACGGAGAAGGCUAUGUUGGCCGGGCGACGGUUGUCCCGGUUUAAGCGUGUAGGCUGGUUUUCCAGGCAAAUCCGGAAAAUCAAGGCUGAGGCGUGACGACGAGGCACUACGGUGCUGAAGCAACAAAUGCCCUGCUUCCAGGAAAAGCCUCUAAGCAUCAGGUAACAUCAAAUCGUACCCCAAACCGACACAGGUGGUCAGGUAGAGAAUACCAAGGCGCUUGAGAGAACUCGGGUGAAGGAACUAGGCAAAAUGGUGCCGUAACUUCGGGAGAAGGCACGCUGACACGUAGGUGAAGUGAUUUACUCAUGGAGCUGAAGUCAGUCGAAGAUACCAGCUGGCUGCAACUGUUUAUUAAAAACACAGCACUGUGCAAACACGAAAGUGGACGUAUACGGUGUGACGCCUGCCCGGUGCCGGAAGGUUAAUUGAUGGGGUCAGCGCAAGCGAAGCUCCUGAUCGAAGCCCCGGUAAACGGCGGCCGUAACUAUAACGGUCCUAAGGUAGCGAAAUUCCUUGUCGGGUAAGUUCCGACCUGCACGAAUGGCGUAAUGAUGGCCAGGCUGUCUCCACCCGAGACUCAGUGAAAUUGAACUCGCUGUGAAGAUGCAGUGUACCCGCGGCAAGACGGAAAGACCCCGUGAACCUUUACUAUAGCUUGACACUGAACAUUGAGCCUUGAUGUGUAGGAUAGGUGGGAGGCUUUGAAGUGUGGACGCCAGUCUGCAUGGAGCCGACCUUGAAAUACCACCCUUUAAUGUUUGAUGUUCUAACGUGGACCCGUAAUCCGGGUUGCGGACAGUGUCUGGUGGGUAGUUUGACUGGGGCGGUCUCCUCCUAAAGAGUAACGGAGGAGCACGAAGGUUGGCUAAUCCUGGUCGGACAUCAGGAGGUUAGUGCAAUGGCAUAAGCCAGCUUGACUGCGAGCGUGACGGCGCGAGCAGGUGCGAAAGCAGGUCAUAGUGAUCCGGUGGUUCUGAAUGGAAGGGCCAUCGCUCAACGGAUAAAAGGUACUCCGGGGAUAACAGGCUGAUACCGCCCAAGAGUUCAUAUCGACGGCGGUGUUUGGCACCUCGAUGUCGGCUCAUCACAUCCUGGGGCUGAAGUAGGUCCCAAGGGUAUGGCUGUUCGCCAUUUAAAGUGGUACGCGAGCUGGGUUUAGAACGUCGUGAGACAGUUCGGUCCCUAUCUGCCGUGGGCGCUGGAGAACUGAGGGGGGCUGCUCCUAGUACGAGAGGACCGGAGUGGACGCAUCACUGGUGUUCGGGUUGUCAUGCCAAUGGCACUGCCCGGUAGCUAAAUGCGGAAGAGAUAAGUGCUGAAAGCAUCUAAGCACGAAACUUGCCCCGAGAUGAGUUCUCCCUGAGACUU
rnacentral:rRNA from 2 species